rnacentral:sRNA from 2 species
CCACAAUUGAAUAGAAAGGACCUGAGAUUCGAACCGGGAAAACGGUCGGUGGCAAGGAUAUCAAAAUAACUGAAGGGACGGAGUUGGUUAUUACGUCUCAUAACGACUAUGCUGAGAAGAGUGAUCUCCAUUACCUAUACGUCGACUACAAAAACAUCACCAAAGUGAUCGAGAAGGGAAAGCUUAUAUAUGUGGACGAUGGUAUUUUAUCAUUCGAAGUUCUCGAAAUCAUAGACGACAGCUCCCUGCGUGCCAGGUGUCUGAACAAUGGCGUCAUCUCCUCCAAAAAGGGUGUCAACCUGCCCGGCACCGACAUCGACCUCCCCGCUCUCUCCGAGAAGGACAAGCAAGACCUCCGCUUCGGCGUGAAGAACAAAGUCGACAUGAUCUUCGCCUCCUUCAUCCGCCGCGCCUCCGACAUCCGCGAUAUCCGCGCAGUCCUGGGCGAAGAAGGCAAGGAAAUCCAGAUCAUCGCCAAGAUCGAGAAUGAGCAGGGAGUCAACAACUUCGACGAGAUCCUCGAGGAGACCGACGGCGUCAUGGUCGCGCGUGGCGAUUUGGGUAUCGAAAUCCCCGCCGCCAAGGUUUUCAUUGCGCAGAAGAUGAUGAUUGCCAAGUGCAAUAUCAAGGGCAAGCCGGUCAUUUGCGCGACCCAGAUGCUCGAGUCCAUGACGUAUAAUCCACGCCCAACGCGUGCUGAGGUCUCGGACGUCGCCAAUGCGGUGCAAGAUGGCGCGGACUGUGUCAUGUUGUCUGGCGAGACGGCGAAAGGUGAUUACCCCAAGGAGGCUGUCACAAUGAUGCAUGAGACGUGCCUGAUUGCGGAGGUUGCCAUUCCUUAUGUCAAUGUUUUUGAUGAGUUGCGGAACCUGGCGCCGCGGCCUAUGGAUACCGUUGAGUCCAUUGCUAUGGCUGCGGUCUCUGCCAGUUUGGAAUUGAACGCGGGUGCUAUCUUGGUCCUGACGACUAGCGGCCACUCCGCCCGCCUCCUCUCCAAAUACCGGCCCAUCUGCCCCAUCAUAAUGGUAACCCGCAACGGAAUAGCAGCUCGCUCCUCCCCCCUCCUUCCCCCUUUCUGUCCUGGAGAUUAUUGUUUCGUUUGUCGUGGUGGGUGGAUUUCUAGAUUUAUUGAUCGAACGAGGAGACCCCCUUCCCCUAUGUGAGAAAUAGUGACGUUUUGUGGAGAGCCAAGGAUAGUAGUGGUUUUUCUUUUUCUACUUUUCUUUUCCUUUUUCUAUUUUACUUCAUCCUCCAUUUUUUAUUGACGAAAAAAAAGAAACGAAAAACAAAUAUACAUAGUAAUUAAUAAAAAUUUGGUUCUUGGGCGAUGACGAUGCCACUAACUUUUUUUUUUCUACUUUCAAUGUUUAUACGGUUUUGUUAACUCGUUGAAGUCAGGGAAUUUUCGUAUGGAA